rnacentral:rRNA from 1 species
GUCUAUGGCCAUGACACCCUGAGUGUGCCCAAUCUCGUUUGACCUCGGAAGCUAAGCAAGGUUGGGCCUGGUUAGUACUUGCUGUGGGCGUUAAACAAACAGACAAACAAAAUAACUGGUGCUUCAUAAC